rnacentral:rRNA from 1 species
GACGAACGCUGGCGGCGUGCUUAACACAUGCAAGUCGAACGGAAAGGCCCCUUUGGGGGUACUCGAGUGGCGAACGGGUGAGUAACACGUGAGUAACCUGCCCUUGCCUUCGGGAUAACUUCAGGAAACUGGGGCUAAUACCGGAUAGGAAUCCUUGCUGCAUGGUGGGGGUUGGAAAGCUUCGGGGGUUUUGGAUGGACUGGCGGCUUAUCAGCUUGUUGGUGGGGUAGUGGCUUACCAAGGCUUUGACGGGUAGCCGGCCUGAGAGGGCGACCGGCCACAUUGGGACUGAGAUGCGGCCCAGACUCCUACGGGAGGCAGAAGUGGGGAAUAUUGCACAAUGGGCGGAAGCCUGAUGCAGCAACGCCGCGUGCGGGAUGACGGCCUUCGGGUUGUAAACCGCUUUCAGCAGGGGCGAAGCUUGUGGUGACGGUACCUGCAGAAGAAGCACCGGCUAACUACGUG